UACAGAGGGUGCAAGCGUUGUUCGGAAUUAUUGGGCGUAAAGCGCGUGUAGGCGGCUUUGCAAGUCGGGGUGUGAAAAGCCCUCAGCUUAACUGAGGAAGUGCGCCCGAAACUGCAUGGCUUGAGUACCGGAGAGGAUGGCGGAAUUCCCCAAGUAGAGGUGAAAUUCGUAGAUAUGGGGGAGGAACACCGGUGGCGAAGGCGGCCAUCUGGACGGAUACUGACGCUGAGACGCGAAAGCGUGGGUAGCAAACAGG
rnacentral:rRNA from 1 species